rnacentral:lncRNA from 1 species
CCAACAAUAAUCUUGUUGUAGACUCGCAACAAAUCUUUUGUACAAAACUCACUUAUGAGUUCUCACUCAUCACAGGUUCUGUUUGGAUAGACUCAAAUACAGUUCCUCUAGAUGUCAUCUUCAAUUUAAGAUGGACACAAGGUGGUCUCCAAUCCUAGAAUGUUUUUGACUAAGAAAAAUGUUAUUCAAAAGCUGGGAUUUUCUCUCUAAAUAGCUCAAAUUUUGCUGAUCUUACCCCAUAUUUGUUGUUUUUCUCCCUUGUAAUUAUCUCAUUUGAAUAAUGAUCCUUAUAUAAACUUCAGAACUAGUCGUUUAUGGAUAUUGGAGGAAUUUUAAAAUUUAGUCAAUUGCUUGUAUGAGUUGUAUUUUUCUUACAUUUGUGUGUUGAUUGUUUUUCUUGUAUUUUCCCUACUUUUGAAUCUCUCUUUGUCCUCUUCUCUGCUUCAAUUUUCGAAUAUAGCUAGCACAUAGUAUCUUCUCAUACUAGUCGUGGGUGUUGCUUCUGAAAACUGAUCUCUACAGGAUACUUGAAGUUGCUUCUGAAGGAUGUAGGGCUUGUGCAACAGUUUUCUAUGCGUUUUAGUCACUUUGUUUUCAUCAAGGGUUAUUGAUCUAUGCAGGUUUGUGCUUUUGAAUACUUGCAGGUCUGGUCAGGAGCUUGCUACUUCUAGUUUAGGUGCUUCUAAAUAAUGCAAACAUCUGUCUCAUUUGAGGUUAUUUCAGUAAUGUGUAGCUACCAGUCCUCCUACCUCUUGACUGCAUUCAUUUUUAUUUUUUUUAUCAUAUAUAGCUCUUGCUACACCUUGAUCUCAAGAUAACCUUAUUUGUCCUCCAUGCUUCUAGUAAGCUCUUCUUCUAAUAGUCAUGUUUCUAAUGGAGAUAUCUUAUUUCUAGAAGGAUUAUAUACUUCAUAUAGAUGCUCUCCGAACCUUUCUUCAUGUUUCUUAA